GGGGAGGGGGUUUCAGCAACUUUUGGCUAGUAGCUAUCCCUGUAUAAGUUCUUUCUAGACAGGAUGUUUAAGAGAUCUCACUGCAGGGUGUUCCCUCUGGUUUUUGUCUGUUGCUAUCUGGAGGUGGAAAGAUGUCAUGUUGAUUUAAAGGACUACUAGUCAGCUGCAGGCUCCAGGAAUUGCUGCAGAAUCAGCCAGCCAUGAGUUCUACAUAUCUUCCUCAUAAGGUCUUCUGUGCUCUCCUUGCCCAACUCACAGUUCCUCUGAUCACGAAGGCUCCUCCAGGAGUGUAUACAAAGAUGGGUAUUAUAGAGCUCCAUAUGAUCCACCAUAUGUUGCAUGCACAACAGGAAAGAAAGAGAAAAAACAUUGUGAUUCAAAGUCAAUGAUCUUGUCUGGUUUAAAACAAGGAGCAAUCAAGAUGAAGUUCUUCUCAAACUAUUUCUCUUAUGGGACCCACCUGCCUUUAUUCUCAGUUGGUGUCAAGGUAUCCUCUUGGCAGCAGGAGGAGGCAAGACCUCAGGUCUGUGUGCUAUCCUGUAGCCUUCAUUGGUCCCCGGGGAGUACUGGAGAGGAUGUGGGGAAAAGGGUACUCUUGUACAUUGCUGGUGGGACUGCAAACUGGUGCGGCCAAUUUGGAAAGCAGUAUGGAGAUUCCUGGGAAUGCUGGGAAUGGAACCACCAUUUGACCCAGCUAUUGCCCUUCUUGGACUAUUCCCUUAAGACCUUAAAAGAGCAUACUACAGGGAUACUGCUACAUCGAUGUUCAUAGCAACACAAUUCACAAUUGCUAGACUGUGGAACCAACCCAGAUGCCCUUCAAUAGAUGAAUGGAUAAAAAAAAUGUGGCAUUUUUACACCAUGGAGUAUUACGCAGCACUAAAAAAUGACAAAAUCAUAGAAUUUGCAGGGAAAUGGAUGGCACUAGAGCAGAUUAUGCUUAGUGAAGCUAGCCAAUCCCUAAAAAAACAAAUGCCAAAUGUCUUCUUUGAUAUAAGGAGAGUAACUAAGAACAGAGUAGGGAUGAAGAGCAUGAGAAGAAGAUUAACAUUAAACAGAGAUGAGAGGUGGGAGGGAAAGGGAGAGAAAAGGGAAAUUGCAUGGUAAUGGAGGGAGACCCUCAUUGUUAUACAAAAUUACAUAUAAGAGGUUGUGAGGGGAAUGGGAAA